rnacentral:lncRNA from 1 species
AAAAGAAUGAGCAAUUAACAAAACACACCGAGUGGAGUUCGGCUUUAGAUGAAGACUUACUUCAGGAUCCCGGUUCUGCAGUGAUUCCUCCGGACCCUUCCCCGUGGAGCCUGUCAGCCGGGCCCUGGUCCCCUGAGAGCGGCCUCCCAGCAGUAUUAAAUCAGUAUGCUGAAGCGCUGAGUUACAGCACUUAUAUCCCCAGCUGUGAAACACAGAGCCAAACCGUACAGACGGAGGACUGGACAGAGGAAAGAUCUACAAACACAAAUGAGGACUGGGAAUCAGACAUGUCCUCGUGAGGAUGGAUUUCAGCAGCAAAAUGAAAACUGUAAGUGUUAAAUUGACACUACACACGGAGAACAAGGAAGAAGAUUAUUUGCAGGAGAUGCCAACUAAGGAUCUAAGAACUUGUGCAGAGGAUAAAAAGUGAAACACAAGGUAAGCACAUAUGUAUCAAACCAAUUAGGUUAAGUUGAUCUAAAUAGGUAGAUUGUUAGCACUAACUAACACUUCUAUGUUUUUCCAACUAGCGAUCAACUAAUCAAUACAAUUAGGUAUGUUUAGGACCUCAUUUUAACUGAAAUGUCUCAUCAGAUCUUUAGCCUGACUGACCCCUAAUGGAGGAAUUCCAUUAAUCUAGUAGUUGUUAGUCUAGUGUGUGUGUGUGUGUGUGUGUUUAGUUAGCAUUCAGGUCAGGGGUGGGUUCUUUUAUAUAAAAGAAUUUUUUUUUUUUAUAGGAGGUGGGUGGGGAUCAUCGCACUUGAUUCCGUAGUGUAUAUUGUGUUUAUAGUGUAUAGGAUAUGCAAGCCACAGAUUUUGACCAAAGUGAUUCACAGAGAAAUUAAAUACAAUUAAAAAAAAAAAAAAUUAAUGGUUAGUAGCUUUGAAAAACAAAAUGAGUACACUUAUGACUAAAACCAUGUUAAAAUAGUAGUUAAAAUAAACAGGGGUUUGUAUGGUGAGAUUGUCCAAUAGAGUAGUUGGGUUAAAGUCCAAAUCAGCAGUUAAAUAUGAAAUAAUGUCCUAAGGCUACCUGGGAUUUUAUGGAGACAGAUUUUGAUUUUGGCUAAGUUUAGAGGCUAAAUGAAAAUAGUGACUUGAUGCCCUCAAGGCUAGCAUUGUGCCAGAUAUUUAACUAAGCCUUAGUUCUGAUUUCUUGUUACAUCGAUACAUUAUUAUUACAGUAUAAUUAAAGGGGACAUCGGAUGCCCAUUUUCCACAAAUUGGUAUGAUUUUUUUAGGGUACUCAUGAAAUGUCAAUGGUAGUGUAAACAACACCUGUUUUAAACAACUCUUUUUACAGCCUCUCGUUUCAUGUGCAUGUCUCUUUAAAUGAUAAUGAGCCACUGCUCACCCCACCCCCUCUUCCGUGGGGCUAGCUAUAUAGAAACCAGCUGCAAAUUGAAAUAGCUUGCUGGAUGACAAAGUUUUAGACUCAGACAGCCCAUAACAAACUGACUGUGUGUUUUCUUUUCAGCUUUUCUGAGCUGGCAAUGUUUUUUUGUUUGUUGUUUAAUUUAGGUCUAUCCUUUUAUUACUUGUCUAAGUAUGUUUUUUUUUAUUUUAUUUUAUU